UGGCGGACGGGUGAGUAAUGUCUGGGAAACUGCCUGAUGGAGGGGGAUAACUACUGGAAACGGUAGCUAAUACCGCAUAACGUCGCAAGACAAGAGGGGACCUUCGGGCCUCUUGCCAUCGGAUGUGCCCAGAUGGGAUUAGCUAGUAGGUGGGGUAACGGCUCACCUAGGCGACGAUCCCUAGCUGGUCUGAGAGGAUGACCAGCCACACUGGAACUGAGACACGGUCCAG
rnacentral:rRNA from 1 species